AUAUAUUGAUUCCGAUACACAAG
rnacentral:miRNA from 1 species